UUAAUGCAUCUGGACUUCGACAACCAAAACCUCCUGUUUGGUAUUUAGUCGAGUGUCCGGUACAAGGUGGACGUGCGUGUGGGUAUUACGUCAUGAGGUUCAUGCUCGAUAUCGUCAACUAUUGCAAAGAUGUUGCUGAUCUUGGAAAGGUUUAUGCGAAUUCCACACCACGUUUGAGGAACUUCACCAAAGAAGAAAUGAUGAAGUUCGGGAUAAGUUGGCGUCCCACAUUACCGAUGAUUGCAUAGGAUGAUAUUUAGCUCGAAUGUACUAGUUUCUAUCAA